UACAGAGAUCCCGAGCGUUGUUCGGAUUCACUGGGCGUAAAGGGUGCGUAGGUGGCCUAAAAAGUUUGAUGUGAAAGCUCAGGGCUUAACCCUGAAAUGGCAUUGAAUACUGUUGGGCUGGAGGUUUGGAGGGGGGACUGGAAUUCUUGGUGUAGCAGUGAAAUGCGUAGAUAUCAAGAGGAACACCAGUGGCGAAGGCGGAUCUCUGAGCCUUGCCUGACGCUGAGGCGCGAAAGCUAGGGGAGCGAACAGG
rnacentral:rRNA from 1 species